rnacentral:rRNA from 1 species
AGAGUUUGAUCCUGGCUCAGGACGAACGCUGGCGGCGUGCUUAACACAUGCAAGUCGAACGGUAAGGCCCUUCGGGGUACACGAGUGGCGAACGGGUGAGUAACACGUGGGUAAUCUGCCCUGCACAUCGGGAUAAGCCUGGGAAACUGGGUCUAAUACUGAAUAGGACCACAGAACACAUGUCCUGUGGUGGAAAGCUUUUGCGGUGUGGGAUGGGCCCGCGGCCUAUCAGCUUGUUGGUGGGGUGAUGGCCCACCAAGGCGACGACGGGUAGCCGGCCUGAGAGGGUGUCCGGCCACACUGGGACUGAGAUACGGCCCAGAC